GUGAUCCCUUGGGCAGUACUUAUACUAAAAUUGAAAUGAUACAGAGAAAAUUAGCAUGACCCCUGUGCAAGGAUGACAUACAAAUUUGUAAAACCUCUGCUUGUGUU